UCAGUCGUCAGAAGCCGUAUAGCGCUGAGUCCGGUUGGGUCUUGGCGCUUAGUAAAUCGAGUUAAGCAGUGCGGAUUCAAUCGUCCCAGGAAGCCAGCCAGCAAACAACAGCAGCCGCAAGCCUAACAAAGUGGCGUUUAAGCCUUUGGGAUUGUCUGGAAAGCGCUCAGCCAUCGGAGAAGCGAGCGUGGAAGCAGAGGGAGAAGACAUUUGGGGAGCGCUCGGUCCCCCAAGCGGCUAGCUUCCCGAGGCGUUGGCGUCGGCACUUUAGUAGUCGAGCGCGACGCGGCAGAUAAGGAGGGCCCGUCCCUUGGUCGCGAGCAGAUCGGCGGAGAGAAAGUGUUAGUCUAGCACCGUCGGAGAUUGGCCGUUUGGCCUUUUUCUUUGCUUUCGCGUACCUUUCACCUGCAGAAGCAGGGGAAAGAAUUUGAGCUGUUCCCGUUCGCCCAGGAGGUGGAAAGGAAACAUAGAUAACAGUCGGGAGAAAGAGAAUAGAAAGAAAAGAGGAAGCAACGGAUUGACGGAGUAAUUGUAUUCGUGUUUGUAAAUGUGUAAUUAAUUAUGAUUUCUGUGCGGAGUUAAUUAGGAGAGAUUUAGAUUUGAUUCCGGUAGUGGCUUCUCGUGACUCUCGCCGAUUUGCAAAUAUGAUUUCCCCCAACCUUGUGCCCAUUUAAGUGUUCUCCCACCACAGCAGCUUUAGGUAUUCAUCGAGGAAAGCGCUUUCGCCGAUGGAGCCAUAAACUGGAGAAAAGGACGCCCCGGACAAAGGGGCCAUUCCGUCAUUAAAUCGAACGGUUUGGAAUGGCCAUGGUAGGGUGGGCGACACGACCUCGACAACACCAGAGGCGGAGUUGAGAUAC